rnacentral:rRNA from 1 species
UACAGAGGUCUCGAGCGUUAGGCGGAAUCACUGGGCUUAAAGCGUGCGUAGGCGGAUUGGUAAGUACCUUGUGAAAUCCCACGGCUUAACCGUGGAACUGCUUGGUAUACUGCCUGUCUUGAGCCAGCUAGGGGCGACCGGAACAAAUGGUGGAGCGGUGAAAUGCGUAGAUAUCAUUUGGAACGCCAAUGGUGAAAACAGGUCGCUGGGGCUGUGCUGACGCUGAGACACGAAAGCCAGGGGAGCAAACGGG